rnacentral:tRNA from 1 species
GCCUGGCUGGCUCAGUUGGUUGAGCAUCUAACUCUUGAUUUUGGCUCUGAUCAUGAUCCCAUGGUUGUGGGAUCAAACCCCACAUCAGGCU